ensembl:miRNA
CUAUUAGGUUGGUGCAAAAGUAAUUGCGGGUUUUGGCAUUAAAAAUAAUGGCAAAACCCGCAAUUACUUUUGUAC